ACAAGCGGAGGAGCGAUGUGGUUUAAUUCGAUGAUACGCGAGGAACCUUACCUGGGCUCGAACGUAAGAUGACUGUAGGUGAAAGCUUACAUCUCUUCGGAGCAUUUUACGAGGUGCUGCAUGGUUGUCGUCAGCUCGUGCCGUGAGGUGUCGGGUUAAGUCCCAUAACGAGCGCAACCCCUACCUUUAGUUGCCAUCAGGUAAUGCUGGGGACUCUAAAGGAACUGCCUACGCAAGUAGUGAGGAAGGCGGGGAUGACGUCAAAUCAGCACGGCCCUUACGUCCAGGGCUACACACGUGCUACAAUGGCCGAUACAGAGGGCAGCUACCUGGUGACAGGAUGCAAAUCUCCAAAGUCGGUCUCAGUUCGGAUCGGAGUCUGCAACCCGACUCCGUGAAGUUGGAUUCGCUAGUAAUCGCGCAUCAGCCAUGGCGCGGUGAAUACGUUCCCGGGCCUU
rnacentral:rRNA from 1 species